CAAGUACUCCCUCCGUCCAUAAUUACUUGUCAUCAAAAUGGAUGUGUCUAGAACUAAAAUACAUCUAGAUACAUCCAUUUCAAUGACAAGUAUUUUCGGACGGAGGGAGUACAAG
rnacentral:pre_miRNA from 1 species